rnacentral:rRNA from 1 species
AGCGAACGCUGGCGGCAGGCUUAACACAUGCAAGUCGAACGGGCAUCUUCGGAUGUCAGUGGCAGACGGGUGAGUAACACGUGGGAACGUACCCUUCGGUUCGGAAUAACUCAGGGAAACUUGAGCUAAUACCGGAUACGCCCUUUUGGGGAAAGGUUUACUGCCGAAGGAUCGGCCCGCGUCUGAUUAGCUUGUUGGUGGGGUAACGGCCUACCAAGGCGACGAUCAGUAGCUGGUCUGAGAGGAUGAUCAGCCACACUGGGACUGAGACACGGCCCAGACUCCUACGGGAGGCAGCAGUGGGGAAUAUUGGACAAUGGGCGCAAGCCUGAUCCAGCCAUGCCGGGUGAGUGAUGAAGGCCUUAGGGUUGUAAAGCUCUUUUGUCCGGGACGAUAAUGACGGUACCGGAAGAAUAAGCCCCGGCUAACUUCGUG